CCCUUCCCCCCCCACCCCUCCAGCCAGCCCCGGCCGACCCCCGCCGCGGCGCGUGUGCGUGCGCGCGCGGGGAGAGACUGCAGAGGCCGGGGACUCGUGCUGAAGGAGAGAGGCAACAAAAAAUAAAAAAAGGAACAGAUGACUUCAUUCCCGGGAAGGCUCCGUCCUACGUGGACCAAUUUCCUGGGGACUGUGGUGGAACAGCUCCGCUGCCGUUGGAAGCACUUAAAACUAAACCAGAAAAAAGACCAGAAAAUUCUUCAGCAUUGCCUGAACCCAGCGAGGGCAGAUGAUCAACCAGCGCUCCCCCAGGCCCAGGAUCGCCUCUCCAGGCCGUCUGGAGUCUAAAGCGACAAGCCAGUUCCCCACUAAGACCUGUGGGUCUGGGGCGCCACAGCAAGGUAAAGUUAUCUUCAGCUCUGUCCCAGCGUCCACCAGUUUGGAGCUGCAGGAGUCCUCCCUUGAGCGCAUGAAUCAGAAGUCGGGCUCCCAGAAAAGAGAAUACCCCACCCCCAGUCCUUCCCCAGUCCUUUGCUGCCAGCGCUGUGAUAGGGGAAGGCGGGACCGCCCUCCACUCCUCCCCAUGGGCCGGCCUUCCAAGCAAAACUCAUCUCUGGGAGCAGGUUUAGAGUUUAGCUGAUGUGAAAGUCCUGCCCCUGGGCAGUGUUUGAAUAGGACUGAAACGACAGGUGACAGCCAGCGCCGUCCAGAACUAGGAGGACGUCGGAGAUGAUGCAGACCGACCACUCCUGCUUCCCUAUCUUACAGGUGGGCAAACUGAGGCCCA